rnacentral:tRNA from 1 species
ACAUUAGUAGUUUAGUGGUAGAAUUCUCGCCCUCCAUGUCGGAGACCUGGGUUCGAUUCCCAACCAGUGUA